GUCCCUGUAGCGCAAUGAAUAGCGUGUUGGACUUCUAAUCCGAAAGUCAUGAGUUCGAAUCCCAUCUGGGAUG
rnacentral:tRNA from 1 species